rnacentral:rRNA from 1 species
CAAAGGUGAGCCAGUACAGGAUGGACCCGCGUCUGAUUAGCUAGUUGGUAAGGUAACGGCCUACCAAGGCGACGAUCAGUAGCCGACCUGAGAGGGUGAUCGGCCACAUUGGAACUGAGACACGGUCCAAACUCCUACGGGAGGCAGCAGUGGGGAAUAUUGCACAAUGGGCGAAAGCCUGAUGCAGCAACGCCGCGCGAGUGAUGAAGGCCUUCGGGUCGUAAAACUCUGUCCUCAAGGAAGAUAAUGACGGUACUUGAGGAGGAAGCCCCGGCUAACUACGUGCCAGCAGCCGCGGUAAUACGUAGGGGGCUAGCGUUAUCCGGAUUUACUGGGCGUAAAGGGUGCGUAGGCGGUCUUUCAAGUCAGGAGUGAAAGGCUACGGCUCAACCGUAGUAAGCUCUUGAAACUGGGAGACUUGAGUGCAGGAGAGGAGAGUGGAAUUCCUAGUGUAGCGGUGAAAUGCGUAGAUAUUAGGAGGAACGCCAGUUGCGAAGGCGGCUCUCUGGACUGUAACUGACGCUGAGGCACGAAAGCGUGGGGAGCAAACAGGAUUAGAUACCCUGGUAAUCCACGCUGUAAACGAUGAGUACUAGGUGUCGGGGGUUACCCC